rnacentral:misc_RNA from 1 species
AACUUGCUACAACGGAUCACGCAAAAUUCGGAAAACGCUAAAAGCAAACGCGGUCAGAAAAUAGCAUCCGACCAAAAGUAAAAUCGUUCUACGAGACAUCUUUGCCGCCUCAUUCCAUUCGCAAAUGUUUGCAUUUAAAUACAUCCAACCGGACGCGCAGGAUUAAUGAGGCUCGGCGCCACGACGAGCGCCUAGGACACUUCUGAGCUGUGGAUUGUAGCCGAUUUGAGCAGUCGUUCAAUGUCGGCCGGAGACCGAAAGCUACCAACAGACGUCGGUCUUGGCCGCGCCUUUGUUGCUCUGCGGUACAAGCUUGCUCUGCGGUACAACGAUCCUCUGCCCGUGCUGAAGCCGGGGGUUCUUAGGUUGGUACGCUGAAGCUGUCCCACUCUGGGGCUGGUGAGCGGCCACUCCGGCCAUUUAAGCAUAUCAAUAAGCGGAGGCU